rnacentral:lncRNA from 1 species
CCCCGCUUCCCCACGCGGCCCCGCGCACUCCAAGGACCCCAACCUGUUAGGUCGUGACCCGGCGGAGACCAGGACACGCGGCUGCCGGCACAUACGGUGAGGCCUUCGCAGAGACUCAGUACGUCAAAGUGACCCUUUCCGUUUUGCCCACCCCCUUUUACUUGGAUAAGCCUCCCCGCCCACGCACGCACUCCCCAGAAAGUGGGGUGGGUGAUCCCCUCCCGGCUUUCCGGGUCGUUGAUGACCUUAGGGGUUCGAAAACGCAAGGGGGUAUGGAAUAAAGUGGCAGGGGCUCUCCACUCUUUCUGAGAUCCGUAAGCCUGCAGUCGCUUUCCACCCAGCCUGGGGGGCCGGAAGCGCUUCCCCUACCCGUCUCUUCGCAGCCUGGAGAAUGAAAACGGGCGUCAGCCCACAUCUGGAUCUGGGUACUGAGGACAACACCCAAACCCCACCCCGCACUGCCGGCAGACAGCACCGCCUCCCGCCGCUCCACUGCUCCGGGACACACACUCUCUAUAUCCCGUCCCCCCACCCACACACGCAACACAGAAGCACGCAGCGGUCGGGAGCACCGGUCCUGCGCCCCUGGCCAGCCACACCCGCAACUUCAGCGCUUCUACCGCCGCGGCGCUUCGGGAAGCACAAGCUCACAUCCCAUAUCCGCAGAACACGGGGUGCACAAGGCUGGAGUCACCUCGGGGGCUCACGAUCAGUCAGGGGCCCCGACCCCCUACUUCGCCCAUCCUAGCAAGGCGCAAGAAUCACCAUAAACGCUGGAUUUGCUGACCACAUGGCCGAUCGUGACCACCUGCUCUGUACUCACCCAGGCUUCUGGUCAGGAGAGAGGCGGGGAAGAGCUGCCCCCUCCCUGCGUCCACCAUCACUCCUGGCCUGGGAUCAGGGCAAGUUAUAAAGGGGGCCAGAGUCCCCCCUUUCUCUCUGUCCCUCUCCAGGAGGACACUCUGGGGACCACCCACCCUCCUCCCUCCCCCACAGGAAGGGGACUGGGGAAGACUGUCCUCUUCCCCCAUCCUGUCUCAUCCAAGACCCUGAGCCUGGGGCGGGGAGGGGGGGGCUCCCUUCAGCGGACCAAGGGCUUCUGGGAGGCCACCCGCCAUGUCAGUGGAUUGAUUAAAGUCAUUGUGGGGAUUUUUUUUAACAUUUAAUUUACCAGGCACGCGGCGGCUGGUCAGAGCUGUCCCCAGGGAAAUCUAGACCAAGGGAGCAAAACAGAAAAAAACCUCCUACCAUUCAGCAGGGCCCCUCUGAUGGGAUUAAUUGCCGGAACUCGGCUUCCAUUCAGACCACACGCAGCAAUGUUUCAGGGAGGGAGGAGGACAUGGGGCUUGAGUGCUCAGAUUCCUUCCCUGGGUGCUUGGAGCCCAGGGCCCUCCAUACCGCCAUCUCUCCCCAGCCUGCUGGUGCUGGUCAAGAGCCCCGCCCCCCACCUCUCCGCACCUUCGUGUCUUCAUGUGUGACGAGGUGGACGGUACCCGGAGGCAGACCAGUCCCUCCAGAGCCCACCCCACCCCCAUCCACGUCCCUUCAGUGUGCAGGGCAAGAGCUGGGAGGCACCCCAGACACGCUCCCACGGAAACUGAACACUUGCCAGAGGUGUCUUUAGUAGUGGAAACCGGCUGGGUAGGAAUGGCCAAUCGUCUCUUCAUCCUUGGCGACAGUGGAUGGACGGCAGGUGGACCCGGGACAGGGACGGGCACGCAGUGUGCGGCACAGCCCCGUUGGCCUUUGCAGAGAAGGUUUAUGCUUAUGAAGGCGGGGACCUUUCCUGGGACAGACACAAGCAACAGGUAACGAUUGUUGCCUCUGGAGAGAGAGUAGGAGUGGGGUUCGGGAGAGGUUUCACUUCCAUUUUACACCCCUCUGCACGGUUUUGACUUUUGUGGGGUUUUUAACCAUCCUGUUUAGCAUUUAAUAAAGAGAUAAGGAAGGGUUACAGGGCCUAAACUGUCCACAAUAAAAUUAUACAAGGCCCAUGGCCCUAGGAUCACACCUGGCAUCAGACAGACCCUCAUCCUCUCCAAGAGUUGAGGGGGAUGGAAAAAACCCUUCUCCUCAAGGAGGCCUCGGGACACUCCCCACACGUUCCCAGGAUUGACCAGCUCCCUGGGCUCCCUGCUCACCUAUCCCUCCUGGAGGCCAGGACCAUGUCUGGGGUGCAGGAGAGAGGGUGCCUCAGGAAGGCAGCCACAAGGGAGGCCGACCCCGGCUCAGGGCAGGGCCUCCUAGUAAAGCGAGGCCCCUCGUCCUCAGCACCAAGGGCAGGCUUCAGGUGGUCACUGCACCAGUUCUUCAGAGGGUGUCUGAGUGCUUGGGGGAGGGUGGCCGGCCAUGGGGUUUAGCUGACACCCACCUGUUCUCCGGACCAGGCUCUGUCUUACGCACUUGGUAACAUCCACUCAUUUAAUCUGCCCAACAGUGCUAGGCACGGGUAUUGUAUGAUCGCCGUUUUACAGAUGAGGAAAUGAGGCCCAGAGUGGGGAGGUCAGUCUCCAGGUUUCGCCCCAGGAGUCUGUGCUCCUAAGCCCUGUGUUUACAGCCUCCUUCCCUCUUCCCCCAGGGCCCAGCUGCAGAGCAAGGGACCCCAGCCCUGGCCUCGGAGCCAGGAUGGAGCACGAACAAGGGUGGUCAGCUCUGAACUGAGG